AGGACAAACGCUGGCGGCGUACCUAAGACAUGCAAGUCGAACGGGGACUACCGCUUCGGCGGGAGAUUCUAGUGGCGAACGGGUGAGUAACACGUAGGAACCUAUCACCGGGUGGGGGAUACCGACGGGAAACUGUCGCUAAGACCGCAUGAGGUUCUCCUUGAGAGAUCGGGAGAAAGAAAGCAGCAAUGUGCCGGGUGAGGGGCCUGUGGCCGAUUAGCUGGUUGGUGGGGUAAAGGCCUACCAAGGCGACGAUCGGUAGCUGGUCUGAGAGGAUGGUCAGCCACACUGGGACUGAGACACGGCCCAGACUCCUACGGGAGGCAGCAGUUAGGAAAUUUUCGCAAUGGGGGAAACCCUGACGGAGUAACGCCGCGUGGAGGAUGACGGCCUUCGGGUUGUAACUCUUUCUGGGAGAGAGAAGACGGUACCCAGGAAGAGCCUCGGCUAACUACGUGCCAGCAGCCGC
rnacentral:rRNA from 1 species